rnacentral:rRNA from 1 species
AAUCAACGCUGGCGGCGUGCCUAACACAUGCAAGUCGAACGCGAAAGUGGAGCAAUCCAUGAGUAGAGUGGCAAACGGGUGAGUAACGCGUGGGUGACCUGCCUUCGAGUGGGGGAUAACGUUUCGAAAGGAACGCUAAUACCGCAUAACAUCCCGCCUUUUAAGAGGUGGCGAGCAAAGCCGGGGAUCGCAAGACCUGGCGCUUGAAGAGGGGCCCGCGUCUGAUUAGCUAGNGGUGGGGUAAUGGCUCACCAAGGCAACGAUCAGUAUCCGGCCUGAGAGGGCGGACGGACACACUGGGACUGAGACACGGCCCAGACUCCUACGGGAGGCAGCAGUGGGGAAUUGUUCGCAAUGGGCGCAAGCCUGACGACGCAACGCCGCGUGGAGGAUGAAGACCCUCGGGUCGUAAACUCCUUUCGAUCGAGACGAAUGGGUUCCGGGUUAACACCCCGGAGUAUUGACGGUACCGAGAGAAGAAGCCCCGGCUAACUCCGUGCCAGCAGCCGCGGUAAG